AAUGAACGUUGGCGGCAUGGAUUAGGCAUGCAAGUCGAGCGAGAAGCUUUAGUUUGACGCUUCGGUUGAUUUCUAGAGUGGAAAGCGGCGAAAGGGAGAGUAACGCGUAGUUACCUACCCCAGGGUCCGGAAUAGCUGCGGGAAACUGCAGGUAAUACCGGAUAAUGUCUCCGGACCAAAGGUGUGAUUCCGUCUGAGGAUGAGUCCGCGUCCUAUUAGCUUGUUGGUGGGGUAAUGGCCUACCAAGGCUGUGAUGGGUACCGGGUGUGAGAGCAUGGCCCGGCUCACUGGGACUGAGACACUGCCCAGACACCUACGGGUGGCUGCAGUCGAGAAUCUUCCGCAAUGGACGCAAGUCUGACGGAGCGACGCCGCGUGCGGGAUGAAGGCCUUCGGGUUGUAAACCGCUGUCAGUUGGGAGGAAAUGCUAUGGGGUUCUCUCCAUAGUUUGACCGAUCUUCAGAGGAAGUCCGGGCUAAGUUCGUG
rnacentral:rRNA from 1 species